rnacentral:rRNA from 1 species
GACGAACGCUGGCGGCGUGCCUAAUACAUGCAAGUAGGACGCAGUUGCGAACGGGUGAGUAACGCGUAGGUAACUGCCUCUUAGAGGGUGGUAACUAUUGGAAACGAUAGCUAAUACCGCAUACUCGUAGAUGGACCUGCGUUGUAUUAGCUAGUAGGUUGGGUAAUGGCCUACCUAGGCGACGAUACAUAGCCGACUUGAGAGGGUGAGCGGCCACACUGGGACUGAGACACGGCCCAGAAUCUUACGGGGGGCAGCAGUAGGGAAUCUUCGGCAAUGGGGGGAACCCUGAACCAGCCACGCCGCGGUAGUGAAGAAGGUUUUCGGAUUGUAAAGCUCUGUUGUUAAGGAAGCGGUACUUAACCAGAAAGGGACGGCUAACUACGUGCCAGCAGCCGCGGUAAUUC